GAUGAACGCUGGCGGCGUGCUUAACACAUGCAAGUCGAGCGAGAAAUUCUUAACAGAUUCUUCGGAUGAAGUUAAGAAUGGAAAGCGGCGGACGGGUGAGUAACGCGUGGGUAACCUGCCCUAUGCAGGGGGAUAACACACUGAAAAGUGUGCUAAUACCGCAUAAGACCACAGCAUCACAUGGUGCAGUGGUAAAAACUCCGGUGGCAUAGGAUGGACCCGCGUCUGAUUAGCUAGUAGGUAAGGUAACGGCUUACCUAGGCGACGAUCAGUAGCCGACCUGAGAGGGUGAUCGGCCACAUUGGGACUGAGACACGGCCCAAACUCCUACGGGAGGCAGCAGUGGGGAAUAUUGCACAAUGGGGGAAACCCUGAUGCAGCGACGCCGCGUGAAGGAAGAAGGUUUUCGGAUCGUAAACUUCUAUCAGCAGGGAAGAUAGUGACAGUACCUGACUAAGAAGCCCCGGCUAACUACGUGCCAGCCGCCGCCGUAAAAC
rnacentral:rRNA from 1 species